rnacentral:rRNA from 1 species
CGCCCUUCGGGGUGCAGCAGGCGCGAAAACUUUACAAUGCUGGCAACAGCGAUAAGGGGACCUCGAGUGCCAGGAUACAAUCUUGGCUGUCGCGAUGCCUAAAAAGCAUUGCAUAGCAAGGGCCGGGCAAGACCGGUGCCAGCCGCCGCGGUAACACCGGCGGCUCGAGUGGUAACCGCUAUUAUUGGGUCUAAAGGGUCUGUAGCCGGCCGGAUAAGUCUUUUGGGAAAUCCAGCUGCUCAACAGUUGGGCUUUCAGAAGAUACUGUUCGGCUCGAGACCGGGAGAGGUGAGAGGUACUUCAGGGGUAGGGGUGAAAUCUUGUAAUCCUUGAAGGACCACCAGUGGCGAAGGCGUCUCACCAGAACGGAUCUGACGGCAAGGGACGAAAGCUAGGGGCACGAACCGGAUUAGAUACCCGGGUAGUCCUAGCCGUAAACGAUACUCGCUAGGUGUCAGCCACGGUGCGACCGUGGUUGGUGCCGUAGGGAAGCCGUGAAGCGAGCCACCUGGGAAGUACGGCCGCAAGGCUGAAACUUAAAGGAAUUGGCGGGGGAGCAC